UACGUAGGGCGCAAGCGUUGUCCGGAAUUAUUGGGCGUAAAGGGCUCGUAGGCGGCUUGUCACGUCGGGUGUGAAAGCCCGGGGCUUAACCCCGGGUCUGCAUUCGAUACGGGCUGGCUAGAGUGUGGUAGGGGAGAUCGGAAUUCCUGGUGUAGCGGUGAAAUGCGCAGAUAUCAGGAGGAACACCGGUGGCGAAGGCGGAUCUCUGGGCCAUUACUGACGCUGAGGAGCGAAAGCGUGGGGAGCAAACAGG
rnacentral:rRNA from 1 species